GACGAACGCUGGCGGCGUGCUUAACACAUGCAAGUCGAACGGAAAGGCCCUGCUUUUUUGUGGUUCUCGCGUCGCGAACGUGUGAGAUACACGUGAGUAACCUGCCCUUGACUUUGGGAUAACUUCAGGAAACUGGUGCUAAUACCUGAUAGCAGCUCCUGCUGCAUGGUGGUGGUUGGAAAUUUUCGUCGGUUGUGGAUGGACUCGCGGGUUAUUAGCUUGUGGGUUGGGUAGUUGUAUACCCAGGCUUUGACGGGUAGCCGGCAUGGGAGGGGGAACGGCCACCUGGGGACUGAGAGAGGGCGCAGACUGCUAUGGUGGGCAGUGGUGGGGAAUAUUGUCCAAUGGGGGGAAGCCUGAUGCAGAAACGUCCCGUGCGGGAAGAAGGCUUUCGGGUUGUAAACCGCUUUAGCCUGUGACGAAGCGUGAGUGACGGUAAUGGGUAAAGAAGCACCGGCUAACUACGUG
rnacentral:rRNA from 1 species